UACGGAGGGUGCAAGCGUUAUCCGGAUUCACUGGGUUUAAAGGGUGCGUAGGCGGGUAAGUAAGUCCGUGGUGAAAUCUCUGAGCUUAACUCAGAAACUGCCGUGGAUACUAUUUGCCUUGAAUAUUGUGGAGGUGAGCGGAAUAUGUCAUGUAGCGGUGAAAUGCUUAGAUAUGACAUAGAACACCAAUUGCGAAGGCAGCUGGCUACACGAAUAUUGACACUGAUGCACGAAAGCGUGGGGAUCAAACAGG
rnacentral:rRNA from 1 species